rnacentral:rRNA from 1 species
GACGAACGCUGGCGGCGUGCUUAACACAUGCAAGUCGAACGGAAAGGCCCUGCUUUUGUGGGGUGCUCGAGUGGCGAACGGGUGAGUAACACGUGAGUAACCUGCCCUUGACUUUGGGAUAACUUCAGGAAACUGGGGCUAAUACCGGAUAGGAGCUCCUGCUGCAUGGUGGGGGUUGGAAAGUUUCGGCGGUUGGGGAUGGAUUCGCGGCUUAUCAGCUUGUUGGUGGGGUAGUGGCUUACCAAGGCUUUGACGGGUAGCCGGCCUGAGGGGGUGACCGGCCGCAUUGGGACUGAGGUACGGCCCAAACUCCUACGGGAGGCAACAGUGCGAAAUCUUGAAGAAGGGGCGGAGGCCUGGUGCAGCAACGCCGCGUGCGGUAUGACGGCCUUCGGGUGGAAAACCGCUUUCGCCUGUGACGAAGCGUGAGUGACGGUAAUGUGUAAAGAAGCACCGGCUAACUACGUG